rnacentral:rRNA from 1 species
UACGGAGGGUGCAAGCGUUAUCCGGAUUCACUGGGUUUAAAGGGUGCGUAGGUGGGCUGGUAAGUCAGUGGUGAAAUCUCCGGGCUUAACCCGGAAACUGCCAUUGAUACUAUCUGUCUUGAAUACCCUGGAGGUGAGCGGAAUAUGUCAUGUAGCGGUGAAAUGCUUAGAUAUGACAUAGAACACCCAUUGCGAAGGCAGCUGACUACGCCUAUAUUGACGCUGAGGCACGAAAGCGUGGGGAUCAAACAGG